rnacentral:rRNA from 1 species
UACGUAGGGUGCGAGCGUUGUCCGGAAUUAUUGGGCGUAAAGAGCUCGUAGGCGGUGUGUCGCGUCGGCCGUGAAAACCUGCAGCUUAACUGUGGGCUUGCGGUCGAUACGGGCAUCACUGGAGUUCGGCAGGGGAGACUGGAAUUCCUGGUGUAGCGGUGAAAUGCGCAGAUAUCAGGAGGAACACCGGUGGCGAAGGCGGGUCUCUGGGCCACUACUGACGCUGAGAAGCGAAAGCAUGGGGAGCGAACAGG